AUUGAACGCUGGCGGCAGGCUUAACACAUGCAAGUCGAGCGGAGCGAGGGUGCUUGCACCUUAGCUUAGCGGCGGACGGGUGAGUAAUGCUUAGGAAUCUGCCUAUUAGUGGGGGACAACAUUCCGAAAGGAAUGCUAAUACCGCAUACGCCCUACGGGGGAAAGCAGGGGAUCUUCGGACCUUGCGCUAAUAGAUGAGCCUAAGUCGGAUUAGCUAGUUGGUGGGGUAAAGGCCUACCAAGGCGACGAUCUGUAGCGGGUGUGAGAGGAUGAUCGGCCACACUGGGACUGAGACACGGCCCGGACUCCUACGGGAGGCAGCAGUGGGAAAUAUUGGACAAUGGGCGGAAGCCUGAUCCAGCCAUGCCGCGUGUGUGAAGAAGGCCUUUUGGUUGUAAAGCACUUUAAGCGAGGAGGAGGCUACUAGUACUAAUACUACUGGAUAGUGGACGUUACUCGCAGAAUAAGCACCGGCUAACUCUGUGCCAGCCGCCGCCGUAAAAC
rnacentral:rRNA from 1 species